rnacentral:tRNA from 1 species
AAUGAAGCGCCUGAAUGGAAAGGGUUAUCUUGAUAGGAUAAAUGAUAUAAUCUAAGUAUUAUUUUCGUUA